UACGUAGGGUGCAAGCGUUAAUCGGAAUUACUGGGCGUAAAGCGUGCGCAGGCGGCUUUGCAAGACAGGUGUGAAAGCCCCCGAGCUUAACUUGGGAAUUGCGCUUGUGACUGGCGUGCUGGAGUGUGGCAGAGGGAGGUGGAAUUCCACGUGUAGCAGUGAAAUGCGUAGAGAUGUGGAGGAACACCGAUGGCGAAGGCAGCCUCCUGGGCCAGCACUGACGCUCAUGCACGAAAGCGUGGGGAGCAAACAGG
rnacentral:rRNA from 1 species